CAGGUGGAAAUGUACUGUCUCCUUCCUGAUCUUGGAUUAGAGUCCACACUGAAAAAAACAUUUAAAAAGUCUACCAUACCAAAGAGAUUCUAGCACGAAGUGACAAUCAAUGCAGUGCUUGCUUGAAAGUUAUGUAUCUUUACUAAAGGAGGUAAAUAAUCAUUGCUGCCACCCACUGCUGCAUAGUCUCAGAAGAAGAGGAACGAGGAGUACAGCUAAGGCGUUGGCACGGCCUCUGAAGACUAUGUUAGCUGAAAAUAAUCCGAUUUGCAGAGUGCUUUCCCUCUUUCUUAGAGGCAAUAUGAAAGACAAAGAGUUUUCUAAAGGAGGAUGAUCCAGGAAUUCUCAACACUGCAAGUUAGUUCCUCAGCAUUUUCACAAUGGAAAACCACAGGGACCAGGAUCUGUCUCUGGGGAAGUGGAUCCUAUGGUGGUGACUAAUGCAAGCAGUAGUGGGGUUAUGGCAAUGUGGCACCACCACAGCUCCGGAGAAAGGGACAGGGCUAGAAGAGGAAGGGACACAAGGCAGAGACAGUACAGGUGCAGAGUAGUGGAACAGGCUGAUACCACAGACAUGAAAAUUCUCUACAGCACUGUACCCUUGCAGAAGUUAACUGCAAAGACAAAACACUGUCUGGUCAAUAAAACAUGAACUUUGGUAUG